UGGGUGAGUAACACGUGGGGAACCUGCCCCUAAGUCUGGGAUACCAUUUGGAAACAGGUGCUAAUACCGGAUAAUAAAGCAGAUCGCAUGAUCAGCUUUUGAAAGGCGGCGUAAGCUGUCGCUAAGGGAUGGCCCCGCGGUGCAUUAGCUAGUUGGUAAGGUAACGGCUUACCAAGGCGACGAUGCAUAGCCGAGUUGAGAGACUGAUCGGCCACAUUGGGACUGAGACACGGCCCAAACUCCUACGGGAGGCAGCAGUAGGGAAUCUUCCACAAUGGACGCAAGUCUGAUGGAGCAACGCCGCGUGAGUGAAGAAGGUUUUCGGAUCGUAAAGCUCUGUUGUUGGUGAAGAAGGAUAGAGGUAGUAACUGGCCUUUAUUUGACGGUAAUCAACCAGAAAGUCACGGCUAACUACGUGCCAGCAGCCGCGGUAAUACGUAGGUGGCAAGCGUUGUCCGGAUUUAUUGGGCGUAAAGCGAGCGCAGGCGGAAAAAUAAGUCUAAUGUGAAAGCCCUCGGCUUAACCGAGGAACUGCAUCGGAAAACUGUUUUUCUUGAGUGCAGAAGAGGAGAGUGGAACUCCAUGUGUAGCGGUGGAAUGCGUAGAUAUAUGGAAGAACACCAGUGGCGAAGGCGGCUCUCUGGUCUGCAACUGACGCUGAGGCUCGAAAGCAUGGGUAGCGAACAGGAUUAGAUACCCUGGUAGUCCAUGCCGUAAACGAUGAGUGCUAAGUGUUGGGGAAGGUUUCCGCCCUCUCAGUGCUGCCAGCUAACGCAUU
rnacentral:rRNA from 1 species